CGAGUAGGGAGCUACCAUGCAGUCGAGCGAGAAGUAUCUUCGGAUAUGAGUAGAGCGGCGGACGGGUGAGUAACGCGUAGGAAUCUACCUAGUAGAAGGGGAUAGCCCGGGGAAACUCGGAUUAAUACCGUAUACCUCCUAAGGGAGAAAGAGGGCCUCUCUUGAUGCUCUCGCUAUUAGAUGAGCCUGCGUAAGAUUAGCUUGUUGGUAAGGUAAUGGCUUACCAAGGCUACGAUCUUUAGCUGGUCUGAGAGGACGAUCAGCCACAUUGGGACUGAGACACGGCCCAGACUCCUACGGGAGGCAGCAGUGGGGAAUAUUGGACAAUGGGCGAAGCCUGAUCCAGCCAUACCGCGUGUGUGAAGAAGGCCUUCGGGUUGUAAAGCACUUUAAGCAGGGAGAAAAAGUUAUAAGUUAAUACCUUAUAACCGUGAUGUUACCUGCAGAAUAAGCACCGGCUAAUUCCGUGCCAGCAGCCGCGGUAAUACGGAAGGUGCAAGCGUUAAUCGGAAUUACUGGGCGUAAAGCGCGCGUAGGUGGUUUGUUAAGUUGGAUGUGAAAGCCCUGGGCUCAACCUAGGAACUGCAUCCAAAACUAACUCACUAGAGUACGAUAGAGGGAGGUAGAAUUCAUAGUGUAGCGGUGGAAUGCGUAGAUAUUAUGAAGAAUACCAGUGGCGAAGGCGGCCUCCUGGAUCUGUACUGACACUGAGGUGCGAAAGCGUGGGUAGCGAACAGGAUUAGAUACCCUGGUAGUCCACGCCGUANACGAUGACAACUAGCUGUUGGGAGACAAUGUCUUUCAGUGGCGCAGCUAACGUUUUAAGUUGUCCGCCUGGGGAGUACGGCCGC
rnacentral:rRNA from 1 species